CUUUAUUGUAAUGAGGCAUUAAAUUCAAUACACUUUUACGUAGCCUUUAAUUUAAACAAAAUGGCUCUAUAAGCCUGAGCUCUUUUUUUUUUAUUUUUUCUUGUUUAUAUGGGUAAUAUCAGAAAAGACAUAUAUCCCAGCAUAACUCUAAAAUGACUUAAAAAUAAUUGUAACAUUAUAUCAACAAUAUGCUAUGUUAUUUCAUACAGUAAG
rnacentral:lncRNA from 1 species